GCUCCGGUGGCCUAGUGGUUAAAGUGUCCGCAUUGGAUGCGGGGGUCAUGGAUUCGAUCCCCGGUCGAGUCA